UACGAAGGGGGCUAGCGUUGUUCGGAUUUACCGGGCGUAAAGCGCACGUAGGCGGAUCUUUAAGUCAGAGGUGAAAUCCCAAGGCUCAACCUUGGAACUGCCUUUGAUACUGGGGAUCUUGAGUCCGGGAGAGGUGAGUGGAACUGCGAGUGUAGAGGUGAAAUUCGUAGAUAUUCGCAAGAACACCAGUGGCGAAGGCGGCUCACUGGCCCGGUACUGACGCUGAGGUGCGAAAGCGUGGGGAGCAAACAGG
rnacentral:rRNA from 1 species